rnacentral:ncRNA from 1 species
UUCUCUAUAAGUGUGUUUAGUGGGAAUCAAAUCCGAUAGUUCUUCCCAUAUCUUCAGCUUGCGUUGCCAACUGAGCCUUUCCUGUGCAACUUAGAUGGAAGGAGAAGAAUGCCCUCUUCCAGGAGAGUGUGAGCCAUCAGUGAGAUACCACUUUAAAAGAGCUAAAAUUCUAACCUUGUGUCAGGACCUACGGGCUAAGGGACAAUGAGCCAAGGAACAAUCUUAAGUACAUAUUUUCUAUGAUAGCCUCCCAAAAGGUAAUGGAGGCGUGCAAAGAUUUCCUCGGGCCGGACGAAGAUUGGCCCUCAAGUGCAAAGGUAAAAGGGAGAUUGAUUGCAGGACCCACCUGUAGAGCAGGGACGAAAGUUGGCUUUAAUGCCUCAACGGUGCCAAGUGGAAGGACCGUUGCUCAAUGGAUAAAAGUUACUCUACGGAUAACAUGCUAAUCUUCCUCAGGAGCUCACAUUGACGGGAAGGUUUGGCACCUUGAUUUACUGCCUGGGGCUACACUAUGUUCCAAAGGUUGAGUUGUUCGCCUAUUAAAAAGGUUCGUGAGUUGGGUUCAGAACAUCAUGAGACAAUUCAGUCCAUAUCUAAUGUGAGCGUUACAGUAUUGAGAGGACCUUUCCCUAGUAUGAGAGGACCGAGAAGGACGCACCAAAAUUUUUAGUUCGUUUCAAUUUUUUAAAAAUUAUAAAAUUCAAAUUAAUGUAACUCAAAAAGUAAGUUAAAAUUGAAAAAUUGA